CUUUAUAAAACACAUAAACACUCCCUGGUUGCCGACUUCGCAUAUCUAUUGACGAUUUGGGGUUUUCCUGGAAGGAGCGGUGCCGGCGUUCUCUUUAUUUUUCUUUCGAUCGUCGGUAAGCCUUUUAUCAUCUCUGGUUUCUGGUUUUGACUGUUAUUCCGUAUCGAGGAGGAAAGUUGAGAAGAUUUAUUGAGUUUUAUAUUCUGGUAAUAUUUUUGGAUUAGCAGUUCGAUUGAUCGGUGUUCGCUUUCUCGAUCUGCUAUAUCUCUGCUGAUUCCAGUCGCAAAGUGUAUAUUUUCGUGUUAUGUUACCGGUAGAGAAGAUUUCCGAAUGAUUCUUUAUUGUUAUUAGAUUUGAUGCGUGUGUUUCGAUUUGCUAGGGUUUGGUUUCGAUAUUUUUGAAACUAGGGUUUUCCGAGAAACGAGUUCACGCUCGGGUGGGACGGGUACUCUAUAGGUUUCCUGUUAGGGUUUUGUUGUUGGUUAUCUAGGGUUUUAAUUUUGUGGAACUAGAGGUUCAAUUCGAUUAUUUCUCUAUAUCCCUUUAUCACUGAUUUGAGGGACGAAAGAGCUUUAGAGUGUAUGGCGGCAGGAAGACAUGGUGGCUACCGUGAUAACGAAUUCAGAGACCGUGAAUCUGAUCUCGAGGCUUCAAGGAGGAGAGAUUUUUAUCACGCGAAGGAAGAUUAUGAUCGCGGUCACAUCGGUGAACAUGACCGCGGAAGAAGUCGCAAUCGGGAGUUUGAACGUGGAAAGGAGCGAGAUGGCAGGGAUAGGACAAGAGUUAGACAGAAGGAUAUUAAAGAGAGAGAAGUAGUAAAUGGCGGUUACCAUUCUUCAUCAAGCACUAGCAACUCAGGUAGCAGUGGAAGUGGUUACGGACGAGGUAGUUUUCCUGUUAGAAUGGCAGACCGUGAACCUGGUGAGCUGUCAAGUGGGAGUGGAUCUGAUGGUGCUGUUGCUUCUGAAUCGCAGGUUAAGGAUGUAGAGGUUUCGAAGAAUGAAAAUGGUUUUAGGUCUCUUCAAGGAAAAAAGAGAAAAUUCUCCCCUAUUGUGUGGGACAGAGAAGAGAAAGAGCUGAGCAAUUCUUCUAAAAAUAGAAUUGCUCUGACGAGUACUGUUUCUCCACUGCAGCCAAAAUCUUCCCGCCAGUCGCCAAACAUUGUUCCUGAAGGGGCUGUGCAAAUUUCUCCCAUCAAUCAUAGUGACGUUCAGAGCUCACAGUCUUCACCCUUCAAGCCUUCAGUAGUGACUGGGUCAGUGGGGUCUGCUGCAUCUGAAUCACCAGCAGGAUUAUCUUUUGCCCCACAUGAGCAGCAGUGGAGCAAUGAUAGGGAACCGGGGCAGCUGGAGGAGGAAGACUUUGUUCCAACACGGAACAUUUCAUCAUCCCGAUGGGCAGAUGAAGGCAAUUCUCCUGCGGAUGAAGGAGAAAUAUCUGAUGACAAAGACAUGCAUAAGAAGAAGAAAAAGAUGCCUAUGUCUGAUAUGUUGGACACCAGGUUAAAUCCAAAAACAUCAAGCCCUGAGCUUGGGGAACUCCCUAGAGAAGGUUCUGAAGGAGCUCGUGCUAAAUCAUCUGACUCUAAUGAUGGAGUACAUCAUGUUUCCUCUGCAGAUGAACAUGGAGAAAACGAAGUGGAUAAUAAUGACUAUAUGGACAUUGAUGGGGAAAAUGACCGCAAAAAUGUUAGUGAUAACCAGUCGGAUACAGAUUCUGGUUCGGAAGAUGAUCCCCGUAAAACACCAGAGCCUCCAAUUCUGCAACAAAGAAAUAUAAACAUGCUUCAGGGGUGUAGAAGUGUUGACGAAUUCGAGAGACUCAACAAGAUAGAUGAAGGUACUUAUGGUGUUGUAUAUAGAGCCAAGGAUAAGAAGACAUCAGAAAUUGUAGCAUUGAAGAAGGUGAAGAUGGAGAAGGAAAGGGAAGGUUUCCCACUGACUUCUUUGAGGGAAAUAAACAUUCUUCUGUCCUUCCACCAUCCAUCAAUUGUGGAUGUUAAGGAAGUUGUUGUAGGUAGUAAUCUUGACAGUAUUUUUAUGGUAAUGGAGUACAUGGAACAUGAUCUUAAAGGGUUGAUGGAAACAAUGAAGCAGCCUUUUAGCCAAAGUGAAGUUAAAUGCUUGAUGCUACAGCUGUUGGAGGGUGUCAAGUAUCUUCAUGACAACUGGGUUCUUCAUAGGGAUUUGAAGACAUCAAAUCUUCUUUUGAAUAACCGGGGUGAGUUGAAGAUAUGUGAUUUUGGGUUGGCUCGUCAAUAUGGGAGCCCAUUGAAGCCCUAUACCCAUUUGGUGGUUACUCUAUGGUACAGGGCACCUGAACUUCUAUUAGGAGCUAAACUAUAUUCGACUGCUGUUGACAUGUGGUCAUUGGGUUGUAUAAUGGCCGAACUUUUAGCCAAAGAGCCAUUAUUCCCUGGGAAAGCUGAGGUUGACCAGCUUGACAAGAUUUUCAAGAUGCUUGGCACGCCAAAUGAGGCAAUUUGGCCUGGGUUUUCAAAAUUGCCUGGAGUCAAGGUCAACUUUGUUAAGCACCGGUAUAAUAUGCUCCGUAAGAAAUUUCCGGCCACAUCUUUCACUGGUUCUCCAAUUCUAUCAGAUGCUGGAUUUGAUUUGUUGAAUAAACUUCUAACUUAUGAUCCUGAGAAGCGAAUAACAGCAGAAGCGGCGCUUAACCAUGAAUGGUUCCAUGAGGUUCCCCUUCCCAAAUCCAAAGAUUUUAUGCCAACAUUUCCCGCCCAACAUGCUCAAGACAGGCGUCUACGACGAAUUAUGAAAAGCCCAGAUCCAUUGGAGGAACAGAGGAGAAAGGAAUUGCAGCAAGGGGAAUUAGGAACUGGAGGUUUGUUUAGCUAGGGAAAAGGACAUUGAACAGUGACAUUUGAGCUACAAACUUCUAGUUUUCUCAGCAUUGACCUAUGAUGGACGUGGUUUAGGUGAGAAUUAUGUACUGAGUGUGCAGUUGCGAAAUCUCUCUGUGAGACGACCAUUGAUGAUGUUCUUUAGCAGGCCCCUGAUGAUUUGGGUGGAGAAAAAUAUUCUCUUCUCUCCCACCAACCAAGUUGUGAUGCAGGAUAUUUUCUAUCACUUCAAGCAUUGGUGAUCAUAAAAAAAAGUGCAUCCUUCCUUUACCCUGCUUUCAUCGCAAGAGACGAUUGGUGUGAAGCGGAGGGAGCGUGUUAUUUGCUUUUUCAUUGCAGAAGAAACUGACGGGAAAAUUCCACUCCAAAGCUUAAGUUGUGGCUUCCUCAAAAAAGUAUGAAGCUUUUGAUGGUUACUAACCUGAGUAAUAUGCACAUAGUGAUCAACUCUUUGAAGCUCUUGAAUGAACACCAGUAACAUUUUGCUGCAAAGAUGUGUUCUUGUGGUCAGUAUCCAACCACUGCCCCUCCUAUGUCAGGAGAAGGUCAUUUAUUUUGUUAGCAAUCUUUUUGUCUUAAUAUUAAGGAUCGAUGCUGUUCGUGCGUGUCCUUAUGAAUGGCCCCUCGACUCUUAGUAUGACUUUUGUGGGCUUCCUUGCACCUAGUCUGUCAAUUAGAUUGGUUUUUAGAGCUUGGAAAAACUGGUUCUUGAUAAAAUGGUUGGGAACUACAUUUUUGCAA